UAUAUAGUUUUCUAGGGUUCCGCAGUUUAUAAUUGGCAGGUCCGAGAGAAAACGCACAGCUAACUGUGUACACGGAAGGAUAAAAGCCUGGGAGAU
rnacentral:sRNA from 2 species